UACGUAGGGUGCAAGCGUUAAUCGGAAUUACUGGGCGUAAAGCGUGCGCAGGCGGUUGUGCAAGACAGCUGUGAAAUCCCCGGGCUUAACCUGGGAACUGCAUUUGUGACUGCACGGCUAGAGUACGGCAGAGGGGGAUGGAAUUCCGCGUGUAGCAGUGAAAUGCGUAGAUAUGCGGAGGAACACCAAUGGCGAAGGCAGUCCCCUGGGCCUGUACUGACGCUCAUGCACGAAAGCGUGGGGAGCAAACAGG
rnacentral:rRNA from 1 species